GAUGAACGCUGGCGGCGUGCCUAAUACAUGCAAGUCGAGCGAACGGACGAGAAGCUUGCUUUUUUGAUGUUAGCGGCGGACGGGUGAGUAACACGUGGAUAACCUACCUAUAAGACUGGGAUAACUUCGGGAAACCGGAGCUAAUACCGUAUAAUAUUUUGAACUUCAUUGUUCAAAAGUGAAAGACGGUCUUGCUGUCACUUAUAGAUGGAUCCGCGCUGCAUUAGCUAUUUGGUAAGGUAACGGUUUACCAAGGCAACGAUGCAUAGCCGACCGGAGAGGGUGAUCGGCCACACGGGAACGGGGAACGGGUCAGGCCUCCUACGGGAGGAAGAAGAAGGGAAUCUUCGGAAAUGGGCGAAAGCCUGACGGAGAAACGCCGCGUGAGGGAUGAAGGUCUUCGGAUCGAAAAACUCUGUUAAUAGGGAAGACCAGAUGUGGAAGUAACUGUGCACAUCGUGACGGUACCUAAUCAGAAAGCCACGGCUAACUACGUG
rnacentral:rRNA from 1 species